rnacentral:sRNA from 1 species
AUUUAACCAAUAAAAAAAACAUAAAAAAAA